GCAGCGCGCACAAGGAGGGAGGGGCCGCCUUUGUCUACUUUGCCGCAGAGGCAGCCCCCCACCACCCCUCCCCCCGCGCCCCGCCGGGCCCUGCACAGCCCGGGUUUUCCAUCCGGCCCGGCUCGGCUCGGCAGCUGUCAGGGGACCGAGCUGACCUUCGCGAGCAGGGAGUUUCAAUUAGCCGCAGAUCAGAUAAGCGGGCGGGCCCGUCUCUCCGGGCACCGCGGGGGCGCAGCCCCGCCCCCGCCACGCCGCGCCAAACGCGCUCCAGAUGGGAACAAAGAUGAGGACGCAGCUCCACCUGCCUCCCCGGGGAGGGGGGAAGAGGAGGCCCCGCCGGGAGGAGCUUCCCACCGGAGGAAAGGGUUGCGCGCCCUCCCCUGCCCGUCUAGGAUCUCAGGCCCGGGCAGGGGUCUAGUCAAGACGAUCUUUGCGGCUCUGCUUGCCUCCUGCACUGCAGAGAGGUGCCUGCCGCACUGACCUCAUCCCCAGGCGGGCAUCGUGCCCUCCCUCCUCCGGAAAGAACCUUUUACCAUCUUUGAUCUCAUCCAGAGCUCUCCCUAAGAGGCUGAGAAGAGGCAGAGCCCAACAGAAAAAGGAAACUGAGGUAGAGAGGGCCUAGGACUUCCUGAUCCAGGUCACACCAACUACAACAUUCUUUCAGAUGUUUAUUGAGUGCCUACUAAGUGCCAGGCACUAUUUAGACUAUGGGGACACCAGAAAACAAAAAUAGUAUCCUUCCCAGCCUCACAGAACUUACAUUCUAAUUCAAUGAGACAGACUUUAACCAAGUAAACAAAUACAUAGUUGAACAAGAGCAUUUCUGAGCGUCUGAAGAGCCUUGAAGAUAUUAAAAUAGGUCAUGUGAGACUGAUUUCAGGGAGGGGACCAUGUUAGCUAUGGUAGUCAGAGAGGACCUCACUGAGGCCUGAAAGGCCAGGAGGAGCCAGCCAAGCAAAGGAGAGCGGGUGGAGCAGGCCACUGUGGGCCUGACCUCAGGCCCAAAGGGGAAAGCAGACCAGGGGAGGAGGUCAGGGUUUAUGCAGAGUGCAUUGGGAGCCUUUGGUGGGUUCCAGGCUGGGAGUGACAUGGUCUGACUUAAAUUUUUAAAAGAUCCCUCUGGCUACUGUGUAGAUGGAAGGAAGGCAAAGCUGUAAGCAAGGAGACCAGGGAGGAGGGGGAGAGGAUAGGGCCGGAGGGGGGAGAGGGGAUGGAGGAGGGGUUAUUGGAUUAGUGAUAUAUUUGGCACGUGAAGUGAUUGUGGGGAUGAGGUAGAGCACAGGAAGCUUGGUGAGUGUGCAAGUCAAGAUUUGAACCUAGGUCAGCCUUUGGGAGUGUGGAGGAGCUGCUUGGAGGUGAAGAGCAAAGCUAUGGAGCAAGAAUGCCAGGGUUCAAAUCCCCCUAGUGAUAAUCACCAACUGAGUGACCUGGGGCAAGCAUCUCUAUCAGUUUCCUCAAGCGUUUAAAAAGGAGAAGAAUGAUAAUGGAAAUUGUCAUUGUAAGGUUUGAAUAUGAUAUAACGUGAAAAGUGUGUAUCACAGAGUCUAGUAACUAGUAGGUGC
rnacentral:lncRNA from 1 species